rnacentral:rRNA from 1 species
AGUGAACGCUGGCGGUAGGCCUAACACAUGCAAGUCGAACGGCAGCACAGGAGAGCUUGCUCUCUGGGUGGCGAGUGGCGGACGGGUGAGGAAUACAUCGGAAUCUACUCUGUCGUGGGGGAUAACGUAGGGAAACUUACGCUAAUACCGCAUACGACCUACGGGUGAAAGCAGGGGAUCUUCGGACCUUGCGCGAUUGAAUGAGCCGAUGUCGGACUAGCUAGUUGGCGGGGUAAAGGCCCACCAAGGCGACGAUCCGUAGCUGGUCUGAGACGAUGAUCAGCCAAACUGGAACUGAGACACGGUCCAGACUCCUACGGGAGGCAGCAGUGGGGAAUAUUGGACAAUGGGCGCAAGCCUGAUCCAGCCAUACCGCGUGGGUGAAGAAGGCCUUCGGGUUGUAAAGCCCUUUUGUUGGGAAAGAAAUCCAGCUGGCUAAUACCCGGUUGGGAUGACGGUACCCAAAGAAUAAGCACCGGCUAACUUCGUGCCAGCCGCCGCGGUAA